rnacentral:lncRNA from 1 species
AUUUCUGUUCUUGCUGAGACAACAUAGAUUAGAGGGCUGACCAUGCUUGUCUGCACUGAAAUUUCUGGGGAUUUGGCUGGUGUUGCCAAAUUGAUGUCUAAAUGCUGAAAUAUGUUCUUGGCCCAGACCGCUCCUUUCUGUUAUUUAGGAAAUGCUUUCACUCCUGAAGAGAGUAUUUCUACAGCUAACAACUGAAUAUACAAGGAUCAGAGCAAGCUGCAGUACUUGUAUCUGUGUUAGCAUCAAUCAUUUUGGGAAGGAAAGGAAGGCAUCCAGAAUAUUAGGUAAAUAUAGAUUUAUUUUAUUUUUUAAAUAAACUGUUUUCAGAUUACAUAAAGAACAUAUAGAGAUGUGCAAAGAGGUGGAAAGAUGAUUUACCACAGGGUAAUCAUAUUUCAUGAAACUAUGUAGGUCAUUUCAAAAGUAAUGCCUGCUAUUUAUUUGCAUGGAAACUACAACAGAUACAAAGAGCCCAAUAACACAAUUUGAUAGAGAAAAUUCUUAGCUACAAAGCGGUAUUUUUCAACAUCACCA